rnacentral:misc_RNA from 1 species
ACACAAACCAAUGUAACAUAAAAACACAGUCAAUAAAUAUAUAUCAAAAGAAAUCAAAAUAUUUUGCCAAUAUUUCUUAUAAACCAUUUCGUAUCAAAAAAUCAAAUUGUAUAUUCAAUAAAACUGACUUACGACUUCGCAUUCCAUCUAGUUUUUAUAGAAAAUAAAAGUCCAUUACGAACUUGGUUUUAAGACAAUUUAUCGCGUGUAAAAAAUUGGUUAACAAAUUGACGUCGUACCACGAGGUCGGCUGAGUACUUCUUCUAAUAAAAAUGCUUCAAACGAGAGAAGUUAAAACUGCGGCAACGGGCAGCCAAAAGUAUUUCCAAAACCGCGUGUCUACGCAUCGUGUCAUCAUGUAUAGUCAUCGUGUGAUAAAUAUAUAACAUAUAACAAGGUACAGUUUAUAAAUUUCAAGUCAAAUCCAAUAUUUC